rnacentral:misc_RNA from 1 species
AAGGGGGUAAAACGGGGGUUGGAAUUUUGUAUGAAAGUCCUGUAUUUUUGAAGUAAGAGACUUGAAAUUUAAAAUGUAAGCUCUAUAGAUGGUAAAAAGGUGUCCAAACAAUGUAUCUUUAGAAAUCAACUCCUUUUUGGGGUUAAAACGGGGGAUCAUAGGUUGACUCCCUGAUCACGAAAUCUCCGAAAUUAUAACACCUACAAACUUGAAAUUUGGCAAGUAGGUUCCUUAUAAGACGUAGGCAUCCGCUAAGAACAGAUUUUACGAAA